CGGGGCAGGAGCCGCCGGGGCAGGAGCCGCCGGGGCAGGAGCCGCCGCGCAGGAGCCUCGGGGCCGGAGCCGCCGCGCAGGAGCCGCCGGGGCCGGAGCCGCCGGGGCCGGAGCCGCCGGGCAGCCGCAGCUCGGCGCUGCGGACCCCGCGGCCGCACGUCGGGCGCCGCAUUGCUCGCUGCCCGCUGCCCGCUGCCCGCUGCCCGCCGCCGGCGCGUCCCCCUCCGCCGGCUCCCGCGGCGCUGCGCUGCUCUGCGCCGCCGUCGGAAGCGCGGCGGGGCUCGGCGGAGCCCCGCGGUGCCGGUGCCGGUGCCGGUGCCGGUGCCGGUGCCGGCGGGUCCUGCCCGCCCCUCGCCGGGAGAGCGCGGGGCCCCGAGGGCGGCGCGGCCGCGGCGCGGGACUCACCACCACGAGGAGUCGGCGCGGGGCGUCAGGGCGAGCAGGAUGAGCACGACGGGCAGGACUCUUUCCUCAAGGACAAGGGUCGAGGUGGGGACACGUGCACCCCCAGCCUGAUUUCCUGCAGUAACGAGCAACAGGCGGACGGACGCCUGUAAAUGUCACCCCAACCCCGAACCCCGGGAAGCGGCUACAUUGCAGACACGGGAAGGCACGAGCAAGCGGAGCGGUUCCCGUCGGGGGUGACUUGGCUGCCGUGUCCCUAACGCGUCGCUGCUGUUCGGUUUGCUUCGACGGUUGCAGCAGCUCCCCGCUGCCUUUCGUGGCCGUUUCUUUGCGCUCGGCUGGACACGAGCGGAGCGGAGCCCGCGGCGGCCGCGGAGCGCCUGACUCGUACGGGGCCGCGCGGGAGGCGACGGCUGGGCAGCGGCUUCGUCCCUCGGGAUGCGAAACGUGCCCGGGGGGGUUUACCCAGGAGGUCAACAACUCGCAACUGUUGACAGUUCAGAUCCAAGCUGCUUUUCCAGGAAAUUCAGCUUCUGUCGAGUCACUGCUGAGAUCCAGCUUUUAGCACUCAGUUUUAGGCAAUAAACUGCAACUGGGAGAACAAGCGCUUUCUCAGCGUCUCUCUGCCAACUGAGCCCAAAGGUCGCUGCCUGAAGCGGGGGGACCGUCCCCGAGAGCUGCAGCUGCGCAGGGCUGGGAAACGUCCCCGCGUUGGGGCACGCGGCUCUGCGGCCCCGGCCUCGGCGCAGGACCGCAGCGGUGGUCGAGCCGGGGGAGGCCGGCGGGACCCGUCGUGAGCGCGGCCCCGGGAGCCCGCUGCACCGCGACCUGCGCGCGAGUUGCAGGAAACAGAAAAACAAACAGAUGCUGAAAAAUAGCCAGAGCAUCUUCUGGGGGCCUUGCAGCUUCCUAGCUUUAUUUAAAAGAAGGAGGGAAGAAAGUAAAUUUUGCCUGUCAGGGAGCUGCUGUCGUCACGCAAGGGCACUUAGGGCUGCUAUAAACAACCGUGCGGGUUUACGCGGCCGCCGUCGCCUCCCGCGCGGCUCCCCGGGCACCUCGGUCCCACGGCGGGAUGCCGCAUCCCGCUUGCUCCCCCGUCGCUUUUCCGUCCCUCUCCGCAAGAUAAAGGGGUUUUGGCGGAUUUGGUCCGGGCACCGGUGUGUGUUUGCAUGGCAGCGGCUGUGCCCAGCUGCUGCCAUCGCUGCAAAGCCCCGAUUGCGCCUCGUUUUCCUGCACAUCGACUCUUUCUCUGCCUGUGGCUCGGCCUGUAAAUCACUGCAGGCCCCAGCUUCGCACAUCAGAGGAGCCGAGCGGGACGUUGGUGUGGGGGCAAUUAGCCGGGCAAUUAGGGCACUCGCUCUUUGCACGUCGCUGUUGCAGCCGGCUCCUGCCGCACGCUCGGUUCGGGCUCCCCGCGCGGCGCAGCCUCCGGACGGAGGGUUUCCUCGCACCGCCGCGUGCGCAGCAGCCGUCGCGUGCCGUCGGCAGGCUCCAGCGGGUCUGCUACGAAUGCAAAACCCCUGCUUUAUUCUGCAUGCCCGAGGCUGCAAAACGCGUGCCUUAGGCGGCGUGCCGGCCCCGCUGCCCCCGCGGCCCUCACCUGGCAGCUGGAGCGUGUACGGCACAGCCUGCAACGCUAUCGCCGCAGGAUUUACAGGGCGGGACGUGACUGACAGAUAAGGGACUCCCACAGAGCGGCGGCGAGGAGCGAGGGAAGCAGAAAUCUGCAUGUCUGGCCCUGAGUCAGGAAUUUGGAGCCCCUCUUGUUCAAGCAGGUUCGAACAGAAAGUUUGCCAAAGCAGCCUGACGCCGUAAAAACGCUUCGCGAAGAAGGGGCAGAGAUGGGUUUAACAAAAGAGCAGGAAAAGCUCCCCAGCCCGCGUCCCGCCCUGCUGUUUACGACCUGCACAUGGACGGGGCUGAUCGCGGAGCCCUUUCCGUACGGCAAUAAAGUGGAAAAAGCGAUCGCGCUCGGCCGAGAGGAGUGGUUGCUUUGAGCACGUCGAGCGCAGCGCAAGAGAUCAUUCCAUUGUUUUAAGAUUUCCAUAACUCACUGUGUUUAAGCACAUAAAAAUGUAGACAUUCUGGCAAUAAAAUUUGGGUAAUUUUGACAAUGAA